rnacentral:rRNA from 1 species
UACGUAGGGUGCAAGCGUUAAUCGGAAUUACUGGGCGUAAAGCGUGCGCAGGCGGCCAUGCAAGACAGAUGUGAAAUCCCCGGGCUCAACCUGGGAACUGCAUUUGUGACUGCAUGGCUAGAGUACGGCAGAGGGGGAUGGAAUUCCGCGUGUAGCAGUGAAAUGCGUAGAUAUGCGGAGGAACACCUGCGGCGAAGGCGGGUUGCUGGGCUGAUACUGACGCUGAGGCGCGAAAGCCAGGGGAGCGAACGGG